GACGAACCGUGCGAACGUUAUUCGGAUUCACUGGGCUUAAAGGGCGCGUAGACGGACGACCGCGUCGACGGCUGAAAGCCCCCGGCUUAACCGGGGAACGGGCCUCGAUACGGGUCGUCUCGAGUGGAGGAGGGACCUGGGAACUUCCGGUGGAGCGGUGAAAUGCGCAGAUAUCAGGAGGAACACCAAUGGCGAAAGCACUCUGCUGGGCCGAACACUGACACUGAGAGACGAAAGCUAGGGAGCAAAUGGG
rnacentral:rRNA from 1 species